GGGGACGUGGCUCUGUGGUAGAGCUAUUGCCUUGCAUACACAAGGCCCUGGAUUUGAUCCCCAGCAUCACCA
rnacentral:tRNA from 1 species